rnacentral:rRNA from 1 species
CGAAUUGCGAUAUGUAAUGUGAAUUGCAGAAUUCAGUGAAUCAUCGAAUCUUUGAACGCCCCUUGCA